UACGUAGGGUGCGAGCGUUGUCCGGAAUUACUGGGCGUAAAGAGCUCGUAGGUGGUUUGUCGCGUUGUUCGUGAAAUCUCACGGCUUAACUGUGAGCGUGCGGGCGAUACGGGCAGACUGGAGUACUGCAGGGGAGACUGGAAUUCCUGGUGUAGCGGUGGAAUGCGCAGAUAUCAGGAGGAACACCAGUGGCGAAGGCGGGUCUCUGGGCAGUAACUGACGCUGAGGAGCGAAAGCGUGGGGAGCGAACAGG
rnacentral:rRNA from 1 species